GGUAGAUAUCCUUUACAUAUGUGUACUUAGUUUGCUAGUUUUUAGGUUUUUGAAACAGAGUCUUGAUAUACAAGACCUGGUUGAUUUUGAACUGCAUGGGCUUUUCAUUUCAGUUUCACAGGGCACAUAUGAAAAUGCUGCUGGGUAGCACAUGGAAGAAGAUGCAUUUGAACAGACAUUUUAAAAGGAAGUCAAAGGAAUGUGGUUCUCUUGGAAGAAAAAAGAAUGUCAGCUGGUUGAAUAUAAUAAAAUUUUGCUGAAGCAGCCCACGAACUAGGUGAAAAUGAAAAGUAUCUUUCCUACACUCUGGAGUGUUAUACUUUACCCAAAGCUCGGAGGCAUCAGAAGCAUGUUUCUCAAAGCUACGGAUCUGUACACUGGAGACAAAUUAAAUGUCAUAUCAUUGGGUGAAAAUGCCAUAGAGGUAACCUGUCUCUGUAAAUACAGCACAGAGACCCAGACACCUCACACAUACUUUGACGGCACAGAAGAGUAGGAUCCUGCUGCUCUUUCAUAAUUUAUUGAUAGGCAAAAUGCCAAAAUCCUAGAAAGCCACACUUGGAAAAAUGUUUUUUAAGUGAAUUGGAUAUUUCAAAAUGUUUUGAGAGAAUAGCAGGUACUAAAUUUCUUCUAGAAUCUGCACCAUGAAAUCACCAAAACGGACAUCUGCUUCUUCGAGAAAACUGAGACAGUUACAUCUUUGAUCUCUCAGCUCUUAUUUUUCUUUUCUCUCAGUUGCCAUCUCCCUGCCAGUCCUGCCCCUCUCUGUUUAUAUUGAUCUUAUAAACCACUACUUUUGAGAACUCUGGUAUUGCUACAAUUAAGAAUGAUUCUGUAAAAGUCCCUGAAAAUGAAAGUGCUCAAAAACAAAUGAUCCCUUUAACAAGAGCACUGAUGGGCUAGAGUUUCUUGUACAGUAGGUCUCAGUGACACUGUAUAGAGUUCCUUUAUGGCUAUUUAUGUUUGUAGCAGGAUGCUACACGGCAUGCAACUUAGUUAAAACAUGUCUAAUAGCACUGCACUUAAAAUCUUCUUAGAAUUAUUUUUAUACUCAUGAAAGUUUAUCAGACCAUGCAAAGAUAGAAUUGCAAUGAUGUAAUGAUGAGGGAAAUAUGGAAGGUUAUCACCAGAGAUAGAAAUGGGAAGAUAAAAAGGGAAGGGCAUAGGAAAUAACAACAUUAAGGAUCAAACCACAUGAAACUGCUGUCUUAGAGUUCAAAAGGUCAAAUUUCAUAUGGUUCAAUCUAUUUCCCCAGAACUUUCCAGGUCCAGUAACAUCCCAAUCAUUUACCAAGAAAUACAGCUGAGUUCCCAGAGCAAAUAAUUUCCAUUUCCAUCACUGGUUAUAAAAUAACACUUAUUGCCAUUUUCUGGAUGGUUUGGUUACUAUAGCAAUGACUUCCCAAACAACAACACAUUGCAGAAGUGUGUUCAAGUGCUGAGGUAAUUUACCAACCUCUUUCUCUCCUCUCCUCUCACUGCAUAUUUAAAUGCACACAUGCUUCUCCAUGGAGCAUUUUUCUUUCCAAGUCCAUUGGAUAUCUUCCAUCUUUCUCUCUCUCUCUUUCUCUCUCUGUCUCUGUCUCUGUCUCUGUCUCUCUCUCUCUCUCUCUCUCUCUCUCUCACACACACACACACACACACACACACACACACAUAUCUGCAAAGCUUAUCCUUUUCUUUAGAACUACACCCCCUGAGCACAGUGUAUGUUUUGGUUGGUAUUUCUAAAUAUGUCAUUAUGUCACUGCUAUCUGUUUCAAAGUAAUAAAGGACCCCCAAGAAGAAGCAGGAAAAUGAAGAAAUGUUCACCCAUCUCUCAGAAAGAACAGGGUUAGUCCUGCAAUGCAGGGCAUGAAGAUGGCCAUGUGGAGGAAAGGCAGAAUCUGGCAGGACCAGGAAAGACAAGUGCUCCCCACUGUGCUUUGCUGUCUGGGUCCUUCGCACAAUAGAUGGGAAAUCCCCUCCCCCCGUUAUAACACACACAAAAAAUAAGAGGCAGGAGACUGGAAACUUCCCCUUGCAGUGCCUAACCCAGCUGGUUCAUGUCCUAUGAAUCUGUUCCACCAGCUUCCUUUUUUAGUUUCCACUGCAAAGACGAGGAGUAGGCUGUCUGCCAAGGAAGGGAGAACAAUUUUGAAAAUGCUCAGCGGAUGUCAGAUUCAACUAUUGUGAUCUCUCUUCCAUCCUUUGGAUGUAGGAACAGUCUGGAUGCUUAUCUCACCCAAGAUACAGUGACUGCUUUUGUCUCGUUUGAGCUAAUUUCAAAGUAGUGAAGUGAAAAAUGCUUCUCACUGGCUUUCAGGUUUAUGUCUCCCUCCAGUUAAGGCACAGAAAUCUUAGUAUUGCUAUAAUCUCACUGUAGGACAUUCCUGGGAGAAAGCAAAACUCACAGCUACCUGACUCAGUCUUUCUCCAUUUACAGUACCAUUUCCCUAUCUUGAUUCAUUCAUUCUUUUUCAUCUAUUUUCCACAAGUAGGUGGGGAUUAAUGACAAGAAUGAAAGCAUAUUUUCAAUUAUCUAUUUUUAAACCAAGAUGCUACUUCUGAAAAUGUUCCUCUCCAAAUCACCCUUGGAAUGUGAAAUAAUCUUACAUGCAGGUCCAUUUUGUUACGGUCUGUAUGAACUGUCAGUGGUCCAUGACCUCUGCUUCAUUCAAAGAAUCUCUCUAGUUCAAGGUUGUGCUGACCUUAUUUUCUAUAGUUAAUUACUUAUAUUUACAAGGUUGUCUAAUAGCGUCCAGCUCAUUUACAUAACUGAGGCAGGCCAAUCCGUGACAGGACCUCAACCUUCUUCCACCCGCCAAGUGCCCCUUCUCGGCUGUCUAAUCCAAUUUGACGCUUUUGUGGAAGCACGUCUGUUAUUCGGUACAUUUGCAGCUAUUUGUAUGGACCCAGGAGAAUGGAUGCAGUGUUUAUGAAAAUAUAAUGAUGAAAAACAUAGAAGUCUUUUAGAAGGAUGAAAACCAGAAAGAACAGCUGAAUUAAAAUUAACUGUAGGAAUUAACAGCUAAAAGUAUUUGCCUCUCAAAUAAUAUUGUAUGUGGAAUUUUUUAAAAUUCUGGAUCUUGUGCAAGUGUGUUGAAGUUAAACUCUCCUCACCCUCAGUAUUGUUCUAGCCAAUCACAGUUUCUAUCCUUCUAGUCGCACUAAAAACUUUAAGAUGUUUCAAAGGAUUUUAUAUAAGAAAAUCUACUCUUUUUCCAUUAGACCCAAUAAACUUACAU